UGCGUCCUGUCCGCGCAUCCGCAGCGCCGCGCACGCUCGCUCUCCCUCUCCAGCUCAGUCGCGGGCCGCUCCUGGAUAUGUGUCUGCUGUAUCGUCGCUGAAAGGCCGGGAGAAAUGCCGGUGUGAAUGAGGAUCGGAUACUCCUGUCUUCCGCGUCAUCUCGCCUGAGCCCUGGCCCGCUGCUCUGGUUUACCGAGCGUCGGUGCUGGAGCGAGCGGCCUGUAAACACAAGAUGUCGACCAGAACGCCACUGCCCACCGUGAACGAGCGCGACGCCGAGAAUCAUACAUCUGUUGAUGGCUACACGGACACACCAGCACCACCCACAAAAUCAGCGAGUCGGCAGAGUCUCCCACGCUGUCGAAACUCGGUGGCGUCCAUUACAGACGAACAUCCUCACAUCGGCAACUACAGACUGCUAAAAACCAUCGGCAAAGGCAACUUUGCCAAAGUCAAACUCGCCCGCCAUGUCUUAACAGGACGAGAGGUAGCAGUGAAGAUCAUUGAUAAAACACAACUGAACCCCACGAGUCUACAGAAGCUCUUUCGUGAAGUGAGGAUUAUGAAGGUCUUAAAUCAUCCUAAUAUAGUUAAGCUAUUUGAAGUCAUAGAAACAGAGAAGACACUUUAUUUAAUAAUGGAGUAUGCAAGUGGAGGUGAGGUGUUUGACUACUUAGUUGCACAUGGGAGAAUGAAGGAGAAAGAAGCAAGAGCCAAGUUUCGCCAGAUUGUGUCUGCAGUGCAAUAUUGCCAUCAGAAGAGAAUAGUCCACAGGGAUCUCAAGGCUGAGAACUUGCUGCUAGAUGCCGACAUGAAUAUAAAGAUAGCUGACUUUGGCUUCAGUAAUGAGUUCACAAUUGGCAGUAAGUUGGACACGUUCUGUGGCAGUCCUCCAUAUGCCGCUCCUGAGCUCUUCCAGGGAAAGAAGUAUGAUGGGCCGGAGGUGGACGUCUGGAGUCUGGGGGUCAUACUAUACACACUUGUCAGCGGGUCACUUCCCUUUGAUGGGCAGAACUUGAAGGAGCUGAGAGAAAGAGUUUUGCGAGGGAAGUACAGAAUUCCAUUCUACAUGUCUACAGACUGUGAAAACCUGCUGAAGAAACUGCUGGUGCUGAAUCCAGGCAAACGUGGCAGUCUAGAGCAAAUCAUGAAGGAUCGCUGGAUAAACGUGGCACAUGAGGAGGAGGAACUCAAACCCUACACAGAACCAGAACCAGACUUCAGUGACACCAAACGCAUCGAGCUGAUGAUCACCAUGGGUUUCCCUAAAGAUGAGAUCACAGACGCAUUGGUGGGGCAGAAGUAUGAUGAGGUCAUGGCCACAUAUCUGCUGCUGGGCAGGAAACCCGCAGAGUUUGAAGGGAGCGAAUCGUUGUCCAGCACAAACCUGUGUCAGAGGUCGCGACCCAGCAGUGACUUGAACAACAGUUCCACACAGUCACCCGCACACUCCAAAGUCCAGCGAAGUAUCUCAGCCACGCAGAAACAACGACGAUUCAGCGAUCACGUUGCCCCAUUGAUUCCUCCUACCGUGUCUUACACUAAACGCUCUCAGGCCAACAGUGUGGAGGGAGAGAAGAAGGAAGAGUGGGACGCGUCCCGUAAGCAGCCCUCCUCCAGCUCUAAAGGGGACAUGGCCGCCUCGCCACUCGUCGCACAGGAACGCAGGAAGUCCUCCACAGCUUCAGGGAAUAGUUCUGCUGGUAGCAUGACGAGAAGAAAUACAUACGUGUGUGAGCGCUCCAGUACAGACCGAUACUCAGCCAUACCCAACGGCAAAGACAGCAGUUUGACAGAGAUGUCGACAUCUGCAAGCGGUUCUUCCUCUGUGUCUCCAGGAGCAGCGUCUGUGCUGGCGUCCACUCGAUCACGUCACGUCAAGUCCAUGUCCGCCUCAGGACACCCCACGAAAUCUCCACUACCACCCAUCGAGGACAACACUGAAUACAAGGGCUCUAGCUCCAGGGCUCCGUCCACGUCUCCGUCAGCUCACAGUAUCAGCAGUAUGACUCCAGAUCGAACACGUUUUCCUCGCGGAACUUCCAGCCGCAGCACCUUUCACGGGGCACAGCUCAGAGACCGUCGCAACGCCACCUAUAACGGUCCACCCGCCUCACCCACUCUCUCCCAUGACACAGGCACUCUCGCUCAGGCACGUAGAGGCACCUCGUCUGGAUUUAUCAGCAAGCUCACCUCCAAGUUUGUGCGGAGAACUCUGUCUUUCAGAGCAUGGAGGUAGGAGAAUAGUUUGACUCUUUCCCCCUCAGAUUUCCAUAUGAAAAUGUGUCUCCUCACACACACCCUUCUUCCCAGAGAUUGACUUGUGUUGGGCCUGUGUGUGUCUCACACUAAUGAUCUGUACGUCUGUUACCUCUGUGAACGCUUGCACGGCCUGCAGGCUGACUUCCUCUUGAUGAAAUUAUCACUUCCUGCCCCUGUGUGUCAUCAGAGUUGACCUACUGUUAAAUACUUAAUGACUCCAGGUCUAGUUGUGUUGAAUGUGUGAAUGCUGGUGGCCUGUAGUGCUCCUGCACCUGUACCCUUCAUUCUCCCUCUCAGGUCGAAAGAAAGUUUCCCUGUUGCCACCUUUGUCUGUCUAUCAAAAUCACAUUAUAGAGGAAGACAAUGAAAAUAUGUUCACUUCUUUUAUAGAAGAAGAAUUACAAACGUAAUUAUUAGGGCUGCCAAAGUUACUAUCGCAUUAACUUUUGAGAUUAAUGAAAUCUGUUUUAUGUUGUUGAACUGAUUUAAUAUAUUUAAACAGUUUGACCAAAAAAUAUUUCAUUGUUCUGAGUGAUUUCUAAAGACCCUGUUUAUUAUUAAAUGAUGGAGAAUAAACCUUCACAAUAGCUUUUUCUUAUAAACUCAGCAAAAAAGAAACGUCCUCUCAUUUUCAACUGCUUUUAUUUUCAGCAAACUUAACAUGUGUAAAUAUUUGUAUGAACAUAAAAAGAUUCAAUAAACAGAACAAGUUUCACAGACAUGUGACUAACAGAAAUGGAAUAAUGUGUCCCAGAACAAAGGGGGGGGUCAAAAUCAAAAGUAACAGUCAGUAUCUGGUGUGGCCACCAGCUGCAUUAAGUAUUGCAGUGCAUCUCCUCCUCAUGGACUGCACCAGAUUUGCCAGUUCUUGCUGUGAGAUGUUACCCCACUCUUCCACCAAGGCAUUUGUAAGUUCCCGGACAUUUCUGGGGGGAAUGGCCCUAGCCCUCACCCUCUGAUCCAACAGGUUCCAGACGUGCUCAAUGGGAUUGAGAUCCGGGCUCUUCGCUGGCCAUGGCAGAACACUGACAUUCAUGUCUUGCAGGAAAUCAUGUACAGAAAGAGCAGUAUGGCUGGUGGCAUUGUCAUGUUGGAGGGUCAUGUCAGGAUGAGCCUGCAGAAAGGGUACCACAUGAAGGAGGAGGAUGUCUUCCCUGUAACGCACAGCAUUGAGAUUGUCUGCAAUGACAACAAGCUCAGUCCGAUGAUGCUGUGACACACCGCCCCAGACCAUGACAGACCCUCCUCAUCCAAAUUGAUCCCGCUCCAGAGUACAGGCCUCAGUGUAAUGCUCAUUCCUUCGACGAUAAACGCGAGUCCGACCAUCACCCCUGGUGAGACAAUACUGCGACUCGUCAGCGAAGAGCACUUUUUGCCAGUCCUGUCUGGUCCAGCAAAGGUGGGUUUGUGCCUAUAGGUGACGUUGUUGCCAGUGAUGUCUUGUAAGGAUCUGCAUUACAACAGGUCUACAAGUCCUCAGUCCAGCCUCUCUCAGCCUAUUGCGGACAGUCUGAGCACUGAUGGAGGGAUUGUGCAUUCCUGGUGUAACUCGGGCAGUUGUUGUUGCCAUCCUGUACCUGUCCCGCAGGUGUGAUAUUCGGAUGUACCGAUCCUGUGCAGGUGUUGUUACACAUGGUCUGCCACUGCGAGAAUGAUCAGCUGUCCUUCCUGUCUCACUGUAGCGCUGUCUUAGGCAUCUCACAGUAUGGAUAUUGCAAUUUAUUGCCCUGGCCACAUCUGCAGUCCUCAUGCCUCCAUGCAGCAUGCCUAAGGCACGUUCAUGCAGAUGAGCAGGGACCCUGGGCAUCUUUCUUUUGGUGUUUUUCAGAGUCAGUAGAAAGGUCUCUUUAGUGUCCUAAGUUUUUACAACUGUGACCUUAAUUGCCUACCGUCUGUAAGCUGUUAGUGUCUUAACGACCAUUCCACAGGUGCAUGUUCAUUAUUUGUUUAUGGAUCAUUGAAAAAGCAUGGAAAACAUUGUUUAAACUCUUUAAAAUAAAGAUCUGUAAAGUUACUUGUAUUUUUACAAAAUUAUCUUUAAAAUACAUUGUCCUGAAAAAGGGAUGUUUAUUUUUUUACUGAGUUUAUAUAAUCCAGAUGGGACAAUUAACAAAACCCAUUUGCUUUAAAUAUAUUAUAGAGCUUUUCUAAGUUAUAAAUAUAUAAAGGAUUUAAAUUGUGUUAAAUUGACAGCCCUACUUGAAUCAUAAAUUAAUUGUUAAUACAUUUUGGCCAAUAGGUGGCACUGUCAUCAAAUUUAGAUGGUAUUUUCAGGGCAUGGUCACAAUAACACUUGCAAAGUUUCAUUUCAGUACGUUAAAGCAUUGCCUAGAUACAGCCUAAGAUCCUUUUUGGCAUCUUAUCAAAUUCAGUGAUGUAUUACAUGAGAACUGUCUGGUCUAUCAAAAAGCUUUAAAUAACUUUUUUGCCAACAUGGUCUGAACAUGAGCUGGCCCAAAUUUGGGUAAGACCUGUUAAACACUGUAAAAGGAGUUAAAAAAGUAGGUUUUCAAUUAAAUUCAAAAUGGUGGACAGAAAGUAUGGCCAACUAUGGCAAAAUUACUAUCAUUGUCCUGUGCAUGAAUGUAAAAUGGCCCCAAACUUCUCAGGUAGCUUCAGGGCAUGGUGCCGAUAAUAUGCGUGAUGAUAUGCCAAUGCGUUUGUAAAGUACAGCAUUUUAUGUCAAAAUUCUAAAUGGCCGUUGUAUGAACAUUGGAUAUCAUUCAACUCUGUAAAACCCAAGGUGUUAUGAUUUAAAACCAAAGUAUUCAAAAGUUAUAAGCAAAACAGCUAUUUUUCAUAUUUCUUGACCAGUAGGUGGCACUGUUCUCAAACUGUUUAGGUAUCCUCAGGUCAUGACGGCUAUGACAUAUACCAAGUUUCGUUUUAAUACGGCAAGGUAUUGCCGAGCUGUAGCUUCACGACCUCUUUGGCGUGCUCGCCACCAAAUUCAUUGAAGCAUUAUAUGAGAACGGUUUUGAUAGCUUUUUGUCAUGAGUAUCCCUAGAUGAUACCUGCCAAAUUUUGUGCCAAUUGGACACAACCUACAAGGAGUUUAAAAAAGUAGGUUUUUCUGAAAAUGUAUAAAUAUAAUCUUAGCAUAAACAUAAGCAAAUUUGAACUGUUGGUGUUGCUAGAGGAUUUGAGUCCCAAAUUUGCUAUGGUAGAAGUUCAGACUAUCCUCUAUCAGUGUGCCAGAUUUCAUAACUUUCCUCCAAACAGUUUUAUGGCCUGCCAAAGACUUCAAUGGAGUAAGAAACAAUAGGUGCCAACGCAUCUUUGUUGCUUGGCCCCAAUAAACAAUUAUUUCACCAAAUAAUGUAGUUAAUUAUUGUUGUAAGUUGUUUAUGGUUGCCAAGCAAUGUAGCAACUUGGCGCAUAAAUAUAGAAUGUACAGAGAUGUGUUUAUUGACCCUUUACAACAUCUUCAAACACAGCUCAUCCAAUCAGAAUUUAAAGUCAGACCUAUUCGGUUUUUGAAGUGUAUAGAUUGUAUAAAAAAAGUGUAUAGAGGCAAAUUCAGCAAUAUAAAAUUUUAGAUUGUGUAAACAACAAAAUCCUGAGAUUAAUCCUGAUUAUUUUGAACUAUUGACAGCCCUAGUAUUUAUAUACAUUUUUGUUAAACUUUUUGUCCAUUUUCUUUUGGUAAUGUUGAGUUGUAUAUAGCUGUGGUUUUAGAUUUUGUAUUAUUUUGUUUCUGAAUAAACUCUUUGGAUAUUUUCCAAGGUUACCCAGUGAAGGAGAGGCCCAUGGUCGGGCGUACAGCUUGAGGAGUGGAUCUGGUGAACCGAAGGAAGAGGGUCGUGACUCCAAGCCUAGAUCACUGCGUUUCACGUGGAGUAUGAAGACCACCUCGUCAAUGGAGCCCGGCGACA